GGGAGAGGAAGAAGGCAAGAAAAGGGAGAAGGGAAGAAAAGGGAGAAGGGAAGAAAAGAAAGGAAAGAGUGAUGGAUUAACCCAGCUCCUUCUCCUCUUUUUUCUAGUGAGCUCCCUCAGCCUUGCAUCCCCUCCAGUGCCAACCUUGGCCUCCCCUGCAGGCUCUAAGCCGGGAGCUGGUGCCUCUCCAGACACUUAUUCCGGGGCAGUUAAUACAUUUCCUCCCCACGGCUGAGCUCCACCCGGAGCACAUCGCUCAGAAACGAAAGGAAUGAGAGCGGCUGGUGCCGGGGGGUAACGCGAACCGGCAGGCGCACGAGGGAGGGGAGCCCGGCGCACAGCCCUGCCCGGCCUGGGUCCAGCGCGGGUGCCGGCGAGCGGAGGUGCUCCCGGCCACGCGGGUGGACAACCGCCCUUCCCCUCCUCCCGGAGACGGGGUCGGACCCCCCCGGAGCGGCAGCUCUGCCCGCUCCCAGGCCCAGCCGCGCGAAUGUUCUGCGGCUCAAAGCCACCGCGCGGAUCAGGCUCUGCCCGUGCCCGGCAAGCCGAGUCUGCCACGUUCGUAUCGCUCCAUAUGGCAAUCGUUACCGCUCGCGGCAGCCGGAACAGUUUGCAGGGCGCGCACACGCACACGCGCUCCCUCUCCAGCCCUGCCAGCCUCCUGCCCUUCCUCGGGCCUAACGAACCACAUACGCAGAAGCUAACGAGCAGGCGCGCGAGGCAACCCUGCCUCCUCCCGCAGCGAGCGUCUGCACGGGGCUCGGUCCGACCCAACACAAACACGGCCUCAGCGUUUCCCUCAAAAAGAGCUGCAAAAAAACGCAGGAAUAAAUGACACGACAAAUUCCGGAGGUGAGGCACUCUUCCAGGCUCAGCCUGCCCGGAGGCAUUGCUGCUCCCAGGGAGCAGCCGCGCCGGAGCCCGCGGGGCCUGGCUCUGCCCCCCGCCUGGCACGUGGCCCCGAGAGCAUCCUGCUCCGGGGCAGCAGCACCCUGCAGCGAGUGGCGGGCAGCCCGAGCAGGGGGUCUCGGCUCGGCCCCUGGAGGCUUUGCUGCACAGCUCCCGUUCCCGAAAGCAGCAGAACGCGCUGUGUGCUUUGGUUCUCCACCGUGGCAAAGGGACAGCGGCCAAACCUCCUUCUCCAGCUGCGGAGAGCAGUCGCUGUGAGCUCGUGGAUGCUUGGGAUGGUGGUGGGGUCGGAUGGAGCCCAUGCAAUCGCGGCAGCACGGGGCUCGGUUUUGCAAGCAGCGGAGACGUGAGCUAAGCCAGUAACGCUGUUUGCAAUUAAAACGGCCCAACCCUUUCAAUUACAACUUCUUGUCACUGGACUUCGGUGAGCUUCAAAGUCCUUGGCUGAAGUUCCUUGGCUUCAGGCAAGUUUUUCCCCCCUCCUCACCAACAGCCUCCCUAGAAACGACUCGGCUGCUCAGGCCAACGAGACAGAGCGGAGGUGAGGAAAGCGUACGCAAAUGCACACACACGCGAAGAAGCAGGAGGUGAAAUAACCCAAGUUACUGCGUUUCGCUGAGGAGUUUUAGCUUCUUUGCAUAGGGCCUCACCCCUCCAUAAGCUUCCCGAAUUCUGGCAUGGUGGGAGCAGAGGUGGGGUGGAAACCUCAGAGUGAGGUGGAAACCGUGGUGUGGGGUGGAAACCGUGGUGUGGGGUGAAAACCUCAGUGUGUGCAGGACCCGCAGGUCCCCCUUGGAUGGUCCUGUCUCCUCUUGCAGGGAGGACGCCUGCUCCAGCCCCAGCUAUGGCACUGGGAAACCCAGCAGGGAGCUUGAACCACAUCCCAUGGCCCAGGAGCACCUGGUUGAGGCUGCACGGGAGACCCCAAAAGCAACAUCGUGGUCUUUCAUGAACUGGCAUAUUUGUUGUUCUUGUAGAUGUGCAAGGUGCUCACACGCAUGGACUCCCACACUAGUUCAGUGAGCAUCAGGUGGCUCUUUCCCCACUAUUAGACCAAAUAACUUGAAUUUUGCACACCGGUUCUCCCUGCUCUAUAGGCCAGAGGACACCGAGCAAAGCCCACCGCGAUCCUGGCGUGAACGGGCAGCCCGUGACCAUGGAGGAUCAUUGCACACGUGGCAGCACCAUCUGAUUCACUCGCUGCAAACACCGCCAGGGAGGGUCGCAGCCCCACGGCCUUCAGCUUCUUCAGCGUGAAGGCAACGACAACCGUGAAAAACGCUGGCAAUAACCCCCCUGGAGAGGAUUAAGCUGAGCUGAUUUCAGAAAUGAAGAUGUUUUGUGGUUACCUAACGGCUGAGCAGUAGAGAAACAACGCCAAGGAAACCCAGCAUCGGUGGACCUGCCGAUUAGACACAGCAGAGCGGAGUGUGAUUAUUAGGUGAAACCUGUCAAGGAGUCCAUCUCCGUUGUACGUGCAUCUCCGGGGGUUGCAAUUGGAAAGACGAAAGCAGCAUCUUUCCUCCUUACUGUGGCACACGUCGGAGGCCCAGCAGAGCUCAACGGUCGCCGCUCAGGGAUGAUCCACUCCAGGAUAAGUCUGACCCACAGGAACCAUUUGCUCCUGCCCCCUCGGAAGGGCAGUUGUCCGGAGAGCGAGACCUGGACACGGAUAGCUGGGCCUAGGAGCUACAGCCAAGCUAGGACUAGGUGCCAAAACCAGAGAAGAAACGGAGGACAGGAGACAAUGUGCAAUGAGCAAUUCACACUAAGCUGAUCUGAGCGGCAGAGAACUAGACGGCUCUGAAAGGCAACCGUCCCCAGCACGCAGAACAGCACCCAUCUCGCCUCCCCAGGACAACCCGAGUCUCACGGCCGCGUCUCCCCCUAAAAUUAAUCACCAUUUGCUGAACCCUGGAAGAGCCUUUCUAGGUUAAUUACACUCUGAUGUCCUGUGCGGCCAGCCAGAAGGAAAGGGGAGAGCGGAGAAGAAUCCUGCCGUGUGAUUGUAAGAGCACAUGCAAGAAUAUUGAAAGCAGCCCAUACAUCUCCUCUCUCGAGGGAACUCAUCGCAUCUGACCUCAGUCACCUGAAAGUCAGAUGUCUAAACCGCCCUGCGGGCUCUCCCUGGAGUUAACGGGGAAGCCAGCGGCUCCAGGCAGCCUGUCCUGAGAAGGCUGGGUACGAGAAGGGGAUUAAUUAAUUCCUGCAGAUCCUGGGCUCUCCUACAUUGACCAGCGCAGGAGCUGGGAUGACUCAGAUGAGAUGUUUAACUUUUAGAGGGCUGGUGCUGGUUGAAAUGAAUGCAUCACACUUUCGACACUGGCCUGUACAUCUCCGGACCACACUAGAUCACAGAAAAUCUGUCCUUUUGCAUUUCCCUCUCUCCUUCAUGUUUCAGGGUGAAGGGAUGGCAGCAGACAGCACACGCGUUCAGCCGAAAUGUGCCCAGCACACAGCCCUUGUCCUCGCUUGCCCUUGAACGGGGCAGUUGAUACUGGGGCAUUACAGCUACCAGCAGACAGGUCUCCAGCUGAACGAACCUGCAUGAGGACGAUCUCUCCUAUCACUCCCAUCUUAAUGGAGCACUAACACAGCGGCGUCGCCUCUCUGCUUCGCUGCCCUGCUGAUUCCGGACUCUCUCCCCGCAGACGCAAGGUGACCGGAUCAGCAUGUCCAACGCUGCCGCGCUGUCGUCUGAAUGGUUGUUCCACCUCUUGAAACUGGGGGAAAGCAGUGCAAGAUGGUCCUUUGCAGGCCAAAGCAGUUUGGCUGUUGCCUGAGAGAAGAACAGCGUGAAGAGGGUAAUGGGAGGUAAAAUCAUCCGUUAUAUCCGGAGGUAGGUUUGGAGAGCAUCCCUGCCAUUACAGGUUUUAUACCGCAGGAUCAACAGAAGACUGUUUUCUUCAUCCUCUCCAGUAAUUCGUCUAUUUUAUUGCUAAACAAAGCUGCCUCUUUGAAGGGGAAGUCUCCUAUUUCAAAUCCUGUUUCAGAGCGAAGGGUAGAUGAUCUUAACCAGACGUGUCUUCUUAAAGGGAUGCAGAUGCUACUGCUCUGGCUGCAAACUCUGAAAGAUGAAAGGGUGCUCUGAGAAUUCGCUUCAAUACAUCUCGUUCCUCCGAGAACACACCGCUAGCUGAUUUACGCGGUCCAUACGUAUACCCAGCUUUUCCCCGUGACAAAGCGUAUGGAGAAACAUAAUGUCCAUCUCCCCUGCGGGCUAGGAAGCUCCAAAGAAGGAUGUGGGUGGUAGCAAACACCAGAAGCUCCAUCUUCUCACCAUGAAGGCAGCGAUACCCCCAUCUCUUGGUGCCAGUUAAGCACACAUGGGAUGAGGGGGCAAGGCUUGGUGCUGGCUGCUUCUACGACGCCAAGAGCCUCCAGCCAAGGUGGACAUUGGUCCCUUAGGGUAUCAGCACGCUCUACUCCUCCAAGCUACUGGUAUAAGCUCUUUGCAGACUCGCAGGGUGGACAAGACCACUUUUGACACCUUCUGUGCUUAUGUCCAAGACUUACUUUACAAUUAUAAGGGCAAAACUUUGUGCUUUUAUCCCACCUGGAAGAGGGUCCUUGGCUCCAGGUCCACGUUUAUAAGUUUUCUGUUCGACUGUGGCAGACGUGCGGUACGCUGGCUAUACCGAGAUGUAAGUAUGUCGGUAACAUGAAACAGUGCUAUCCCUUGCAUCUCUUUGGGUGUUUAAUGUAGUUUGAUUGUAAAUAGACAUAAACAAGCACUGGCUUUAGGGCAGAAUAAAAGCUUCAGUGACUCUGUCUGGGAGAUAACUCCAUGCAACAUCAAAAAAUACAGUCUGCUUCCUGCUUCCUGUCCUGGUUACAUAAUGUCCUCAUGCACAUUUUAUAAGAGACAUUGCCUGGGUAUAAAAAAAAAUGCCUCACUAUGAAACUGAUAACAUUGAACUUAACUCUGUUUUGAUCCAAAGCCAAAAUGCUUUAUUUAUUUGAAGCAUAAAUUAUUCCUUUAUCUAUUGCUCGGUUCACAAGGAGUUUAGGGCAGUUUGCCUCUAAAUGAGUCUCAAAUCACAGGGUUUUGCAAAACGCCAUGGAAGUUGAGAAAGCGGCUUGGAAGAACUUGAAACCCCUCUUGGUGGAUUUAUGGAGGCGAUGUUUUGAAACCAGCCUCCCCGUCCCUCCAGCGCUGCCGUCCCUGGAGAGUUAUUGCUAAGGCUGCUGCAACCGUUAGAGCUGAGGAAUGCAGCCUGCAUCGCGGCUGCCAAGAUUUCUCUCCUGCUUGCACCAACCGCGUCUUCAGCGAGCAUUUCUCCUUCUGGCCUUGCCUGCAAUCUCUGACGGGGGGUCACUGUAGGUGCACAGAUAUCCCAAGCGUUGGGAGAUGAGUCCUCGCCUUUGGGCGCUGGGGAACCGGCACUCGUUUCGGCACUGCCCUGGCUCAGCGUUGCUGCUGCCCGCAGCUGCCGAGCACCUAGGCCUCGCUCACGCCAGCAGCCUGGUCUCUUCUCAGGCCGGACGGACUCGUUUGCUCGUAUUUAUUCUUUGUUUUCUGUGCUGUAGCAGCCUGCCGGAGCCCGGGCUGGGAGACGGGCAGCUGCUCGCGCUGCCGUCCGAGAGCAUCCUCCUCCUGUUUUGCAAAGAGACUUGGAGGAGGCAGUGGCGAAGACAUCAGGUGUUGGAUGCUCCCUUUCAGCACAGCCCAACUCUGCGCAGCGCUUUCUCUUCCCUUUUUUUUUGCAAGUCUAGAGAGGAGCUUUCCUCCGAGGCAGGAGAAGCAGAGGGUGCACGUCCGACCUCUGCCCACUGCGGCCCUCUGAGCAGGGGCUGGCUAUUGCUUGGACGGUGGGGAAAGGAGGGGGAGAUGUAAGGAGAAGGGGAAGCCAAUGGGUUCCUGCAUGUGUGCGCAGCUUUCAUAGAUGGGGAGAGAAUCGAGUUUUGGAGAGCAGCAGAAUUAACUGGUCACAUGAAGAAUCGAUUGGCAGGGGAAGGGGUUUCCCAGGGAAGCGGAGCUGAGCUUUAGUGGCAAGCGAAUGGGGAGCAGGCAGGAGAAAACCUCGGAGGAAGGAGACCAAGGGAGAAGAAAGAUAACCCAGACGGAAAGGGAAGAAACAUGGAGAAGGUUCACGCAGGAGAGGCCCAGGAGAGAGGCAGGAAAAUAAUUCCUCGGGCUCAGAGAAAAGAUGCAAGACAACUGCUGCAGUGGAUCACGGUAGAGCUGGUCUAGUCCCAGGGUCAUGAAGCUGUUUGAAGGGGUUGAAAAGCACCGGAGAACAUCUGCUCAUCCAAGAAACCAGGCACCCGGCUGCUCCCGCGCUGGCGUUCCCACCGGCUGCCGGUGCCACAGCCCUCCCCAGCCCCAGCGAACUGAGCCGGCCACCGACCAGCAUCCAGCAUGUUGGAUCUCAGCCAAGGCCGGGUUUAAACCAGGACAGAGAGGAUGAAAUAGCACCAGGACUGACGAGCCAAAGGGGAAUUAUAUUUUGAAAAACCUGAAGAGCGGGUCUGGUCCGUGGGCCAGUUUUCUGGCCUUUUUCCAUUCCACCGCGAGAGAAACAAGUUCAAGGUGGUUGCGAAAAACCAUCUAGACAGACUCAUCGAAUAGUUGUGUGGUCCUCCUUAUCAACGCAGAGACAUACCGUGGCUUCCCGGCACUUGCCUUCUGCCGGAGGUAACAAAACCCAGAGCUACAUGCCACACGUACCUGGAGCCCGAAGCGGAAAAGCUUUAUCCAGGGUUUUGGCCGGUGCUUGAACGAAGGGCAUCUGGCAGCCCCAGCCCGCAGGGGUGGGGGGUCCCAGCUCUGCGCUGCAGGUUGUUGCCUGCGCGACUGUCACACCACCACCCCGGCUCACACCAUGAGCUGAUCGCAAACAAUCCGAGUUGGAAACAACCUCUUUUCGGUUUGGAGCAGCAUUUUUUUUUUUAUAUAAGUUGGGUAACUUGAGUCAACUCACAAACGCUGGCACGACUGAGAAGGAGACCGAAUACAAGUAUAUAACAAAUACUUGGGGGAAACUGCUUAAAUCAUAUUUGCUGAAAAAGCUGCUUUUAGGUCCCAAGAGUGCCCAGCACAGAGCAUGUAUGGGAAUCCCACUCACCACUGACCCUGCUCAAGCCAUGAAGCGGCUCUCGAGAACAAACUGUCCUCUCCACUCACCACUUGAGUGAUUGAAGACACCAGUGAAUCACCCUUAGACAGGAUUUGGUCAACCUUCACAGAAAUAAGUUUGUCAGAGGAAUUUCAAAGUCCCCCGUGCCAGGAUCGCUCAUGGCUGUGGAAUUAAUACACUGUUUGCAGAACUCUUCAAUGUGUUUCUCCGAGAAAGGGCUGGAAAUAGUCCAGUAGUAAAUGUAUCCGUCUCCAAAAGGAGGAAAAAGUAUCUUGCUUACAUUAACGGUGUCUGCGUGCUGAAGAACGCAGAGACGAGAAAGCAUCACGGGGCAAUUAACAAACCGAGGUUGCACUCGGUGUGCAAAGGAUGUAAGAAAACACUAGGGGAUGUGACAUGCAAAAGCACUAAAUAGCGGAGCGAGGGCAUUAUUUGGGGAAGGGACCCGCGGUGCUGCUGAUGACUGGGGGGCAAUGAGCACAGCUGCUGUACCCCCGGACGGUGCAGCCAGCCUCCUCCUUGAAUCCCUCCAAUUUUUCUUUGGCAUGACCGUAAUUUUUUUCGCCCCACGAUGGAGUGUGUCCAUCGGCUCACACGACGGCCCCACGGGUCGGUGCAUGGAGAGGGCACGUCUCCCCCUUCCCACCCUGCAUCCUUUCUCCCAGCUGGGCUUGGGCUGCGAGGUUGCUGCCGUGACUUACAGCUCCUGGGAAAGCUGCUGGGGCUUGAACGUUUUGAGAGGCCAUGAGAUAUCUGCGUAGCAAACAAACCCGGAGAUGCUGCCGGGGCCACUGGAGUCCCCGGGGGGGGGGUCGAGCCCUGUGCGCACGUAUGAGCAGUUGAGCGCUGGCACGUGCCUGUGUGCAGCUCCUUUUAUGCCUAAUAGCAGGUUAACCAAGCACUGAUAAAACGCUGAUUUGGAGCCGAAUGCUGCUGCUAAAUCGCAAUGAAAACCAGUGUUUUUAAAAGCAUGCAGAAGGUGAACAGCAUUGACUUCUUCUUCAUUUAAUGAGAUGCUCAGCAACUUUCCCGCACCCACCUGUGCUGAGGCUUGCUGAUGCAAGGACCCAUCUGCAGCUUGGUGGUGGGACCAGCCUCCCCGCAGCCCCCAGCCUCCCCCCAGGCACGAGCCGGGCACGGGUGCCGCGCACGCAGGGAGCAACGGCCACGAUCAGCCUCACGAGGCGACAACCCAGCACAAGCUCUCUGGGAAUUCAUGCUAUUCCCCUUCCAAAGCAACAAGAUCGCACCAGCGGCACCGCAAAAGCCUGCCCGCCCGCUGCAGUCGCUCUCCCCGCUACGGAGCAGCAGCUCGCUGGGCACCGGAGGGAGCGAAACGGCAGGAUUUGGCCGAACCAAUAACCAUUUUCAAACUUUAAAACGAUGCCAGUCAAGGCAAAUCAUCUCCCCCGGCCCCAGCAUCCUCCGCAUCACAGUCACGGGAGACGCUAAGGAUUAAGUGAAAGCAAACGCUGUUCUCUGGAAGGCUGCUGCCUCCCCAGCUUUAGAGGCACAGGGGAUGGAUGCUCCGGGGAUGCCCCAGCGGGUUUCUGGAGAAGAGGACACUCAUUUCUAGUCCAUAGGAGAUACAACUGCAUGGGGUCGAGGUAGAAGGUGUGCUUGUCCUCCCCGCUGCUGGCUCUGCCCGUGCCAGCCAGCUCCUGGCAGGUUCAUCCCGGCCCCGCAGCCGGAGCUUUUCCUACUGUAACAGCUUCUACCCAGCAGACCCGGACUGGGCUUGGGCUAACGCUGCCCAGCAACCCUGUCUCUGCAGAGAAACAGGAAAUUUGGCUCAUGCUAUUACGCGCUGCUUCUCUAACCACUUCGCUCUGAGGAAUUCAAGCUCAAUUUACCUGAAAAGCAUCAUUUCUCCCUGGAUUAUUUUUUUCAUCAUCAAAACGGAUGCCCGACGGAUUCAGUGCUCAGUCUUUUUGAGGACACAGCCCUUUGCUCCAGCAGUAACAGCCGUGUCAGGCCCCUCGAGCACAGCUCUGACCAAAUUGCUCAUAACUUUGCUUUGGGUUUCCAAAGUGCAAUUGCUCCCGAGCUGCAGCCCGCUCGCAGCAAUAUAACCCAGUGGCUGCAAAGCUCGGACCGGCGAGCUCGGAGCUCCGCACGAGCAAGGAAAUCACGCAAUUCCCCCCGUGCAAGGCAGGCUCGCAAGAAAAUGGCACAUUUCCAGCAAAAAAGGCAACAAGCGGCUGUUUCAGCACGUAACUCACCACAAAGCUCUGCACCGCUGUCCUCCCGGCGGAGCCGCUGCGAAGGAGGGAGAUCGCUGCGGGAGACGCCGGCUAAGAGGGUUAGGUGCCUGCUCAGCCACCUGGUAAGCGGAUCGCGUGGAAAUGCAAGGCGUUAAUUCACAGCAGACAAAGCUCGGUGUAAUUACAGUGUUUUGAUGAGCGUUUGGGACGGAGUUCAGCAUUUUUGUUCUGGCUAGGCCAGGCUCAACCGAUGAACAACGAUAAGACCAGGACUAGCGGUUUGCAUCACUGCAGCAACCGGCGCGGAGCUCAAAAGUGGAGUGAUGUUAAACAAAAGGACGAUGAAAAAUGAUGCGACGCAUCCCUUAUACCGCUGCGUUGUGCCCAGCUUAAAGCCAACAGAGCCCUCAAAACCUGGAGUCCAAACUCCGCCAGAACAGCACGCAAAGGCCGCAGCAAAAAUGAAAAAUCAGUCCCCGGUAGCUGGUCAGGGCUGAGCAGGAGGGAACUCAAGCAGGCAAAAAAUGAGCUACAGGUCUCGCCUGCCUAAGGAGCAAUAUGAACCAGAAAGUCCCGUGGCUGCUUGAACAGAAUAAUCUGCAAAUAUAAGCAGCCAAAUUGGCAUUUAAUGAACCCCAACUCCAUUAAAAAAAGGUUUUCAGCAUCUGCAGAGAAAUGCAGAUAUUAAAAGAGCGACCACGCAGGCAAGCGCACAUCCCAACAGCCCCCCAAGGGAACUAACAGAGAAAGCAGAAGCAAAACUUGAUGUUACUAAGCAGGCAACAAGCAUCCAAGCGAACCAGACUGGGAACGGGAUCGCUGUAACGAAAGCAAACAAGCCGGGGUUUAAAUAGAAGCAAAAACCUUGGGAGGGAAAACCAGCGCAAGCAAAUGUUUACCCUCAUGAUGGGAUCGUUUAGAAAUUAUGGCCGGGCGCCAACUCUCCAAUAUUUUUAGUUUUGGAAGGUCUAAUCUCAAUUUAAAAGUAAGUGCAUCUGUAUUUCCAGCCCCUUUUUGCUUUAGGUAGGCUGAUGCAUGACCAGUUCAGCAUUUUGGCUGUAUCAGAAACACCUGUGUAAAGAAAAGGACUAAAUCUUCAGCCACCUGAAUCUGGGGGAAACCAAUUGACAGCAUAUUGCACAGCGUUUUGCAAUUUAUCUGAUAAAUGCUAUCUGAACAGAAAGAGAAGCCCAGGUCAUUUAAUAACUCUGAGACACAGGUUCAGCAGUGAGCAAGCCCAAAAAAAGAGCACAAAUACACAGCUUUGCUCUGCCCCAUAAACAGCAAAAAGACAAAAAUGCUCCCUGCAUUUUGCUAAUAGGGUUUAUGGGGAGGAAAAUGAAGGAGAAAAACCCCCCCAGGGAUCUCUGCAAAGAUCAACUCACCCCGGUCCCGUCAGGGCAGCGAGCCAGAAGAGCUUCCUCGCAAACGCGUGCCAGAGUCGGACCGAAACGUGCAAAGAAUGAGUCGGGUUCAAACUUAUAUUAAUUUUAUUCACAUUUUCCAGAAGAAAGCAUUGGUGGAGCGCAACAUUGUGGCUAGCGUCAAAAAGCUCAAGUAUUUGUUUGGUUUAAAGCAGGCAAACAUUUCAAACGCUGAAACAAGACAGUGGACGCGCUCUCCCUGCCCCUGCACAUGUUUCCAGUUCAAGUAAUAGGAAUUUCAAAAAUAAGCUAGCUCAUCACAUGAUGGAGAGAACGUCAAAAACUUUAAAGCUCUCUGUGGUAUAAGCCCCUAAGCAGGGCAUGAAAGUAGCAGGCAGGAAAUCUUCUACAGCUGAACUGGCUUAUCCCCUGGCUGCUUUUUUUUUUUUCCUUUGGUUGUAAAAUUUCGCUAUCAGUGCUGCCGAAUGCUUCCGCCCAACUUUAAUGCGAUUCGUUACCUGGAGCAGGAAUUUGCUGCUCCAGGAUUACAAGGCUGAUCAUUCGUGAUGGCACUGACAAAUUUUAGCAGGACUCUCUACUAAGGAGCAAAGAGAAAAGGAGGAAAAAACCCGACCAUUUUGGAUUUAAAGAACACAUACAGGAAUAAGACACAUAUUAAUCUGGAACUGAGACUUUUCAAUUGCACUGCUUGGCCAUGGGAAGUUUUCACAAUUCUGCCUUGCUUUUAAGUAAUAAAUUUGUUUUCUAAGUGACUGUUGGGUUCAGCUGAGCCCACAGCUGGUGUAUGCUGAUAUUUAGCCGAUUGUGAAAACCUCCUAAACCAAGUGGCAUUAACCAGUUUCAGCUCUGUACAAUACACAGCCACAGCUUCUGGCUUUCUGCUUCGAAGCGUGUGUUUCGAAUCAGACAAGAAGGCAUUAAACAAAGGCAUCUGCAGACCCCUUGCUGAAAUACAGCCCUUGAUUAGGGCUGGAAAAAAAGGCAAAUUUUUGUCAAGUCCGGAGAGAAACAAGUCACCGAGCCGCACGUGAAAGCGGGGCUCGCUGGUGCAAGCAAAA